GACCAUAAAGUGUCAGUAGAUGUUCUAUGUCUGUGGUUUACGACUGCCGUGGCUUAUAAAUGUGGCUCAGUGGAAAGAUUUAUUCCUUCAGGUGUGUUAAGAUGUCAGUUGGAAUCAAAACACAGAAAAUUGGAGUUUCAGUUUCACUGUAAGUCUGGUGGCAAGAGGGGCCACACAAGGAGGUGAAACAGGAAAGGAAGGAGAAGAGGAGUGUGGAGGCGUGGCAGCGCUCAGCUGCAGCUGGGAGAGCAUCUGCAGCACCUGACGCAGGUGAGGACACUUCAGGUAAUCAGACCAUGGAGAGAGAGAGAGAGAGAGAGAGAGAGGGAGGACAAAGAACACUUGAGCCAACAUGGCGGUCAGUGCCUGUGCCAAUGGGAACCCACGUGAGACGAGAAGGCUUGGAACCGAUUGGUGUACUGAGAGCAGGAACCGAGCCAGAGCCAGAGUUUGAGGAGGAUUUUGGCAGGAGGGCGUUCUUCUGUCAGAGCAGAGCUCAGUCUUCUCCUCAGUCUUCCUGCGUUUGAAAACUCUGUGGAAGAGUUCCAGCUCCUGCUCCCAGGGCAUGUGUCCCACCUCCGUCCCUCCAUCAGUCUCUGCAGGACGCCAUGUCCACAACGGUCCAGAAGAGCUGCUCACAUUUUCCUCAGAGUUGUCCAGGCGUUUUUAAGGCAUAUUAAAACCAGCAGAAGACCGGGGUCAGGACCUAACAGAGCUGGUGUGUGUGUCUUCAGGUCCUCAUGUCCCCAUGUCUUCACGUCUUCAUGUCCCCAUUUGAAAUCGCCGAUGGGAGUUUAAUGAGAGAAGACAGCGGUGAUGAGAAAAUGAAGUUAGAAUGAAGCAGAAAAGUUCAGGAGGGAAAAAAAACUUGGACGGAGACGGAGCAGAUUUGGCUGGCUAAGACACACUGAGGUCCAAAAGUGAAGACCGGCGCUGGGACAUGUUGACUGAAAACAGAAGAAACUGAGGGGGAAGGAAAAUAUCUGCGCAGUUUUAAAUAAACCCGAUAUGAAACACUUUUCUCUGAGUCUGUGUGACGCGUUGGCAGUAGAAGUCAAAAAACACACUCGCAACAACAACAACUCGUUUUUCCUGCUCAAAGCAACACAGCGGUGUAAAACACUGAAAAGAUCAUAGAAAAACCCCAGCAGUAACUCAUGUCAAAGGAUAAAUGAGGCUAAAGAAAACGGAAGAGAAAAGAGAUUUAAACACAGCUCAAUGUUGGCACGGCUGGAUCUAAGAGGUGGACGGAGGGCUCCGUGUUCCCUUCAUGUCGUCUUCACCGAUGCAGAACCACUGUUGAUCAUCAGACUGACAGCAGAGGAAACUGAUGAGGGAGUUUGCGUUUUUAACCUCACAUGAGAAAUCACGUCUUCAGCUCAGCUCAAGAAACAACAGCCUCCAGUGAAGAUCAGCAGCUUCACCUCUCUGCUCCGUCACAUCAGUGGGAACCAGGAGGAGUUUGUUUGACCUGAGGCCGCAGGAGGAAAGUGAGUUCACUCCUGAAACCCUGAGGCCACUGGAGCAUGUGUGAGAGGAAAACUCCCCCCCCACACACACACACACAGAGACAGACUUUCAGAGACACACACAACUCUAUGAUUUACACUCAUAUUGACUGUUAGGGACACACACACACACACACACACACACACAGGUCUGCAGGUCACACAGUCCGGAGGGAGAUAUUUACCCUUGGUAAUAUUACAUUUUGAUCAGUUCCUGGAAGUGUAGAGUGUUCUGGUACGGUGUGGUUCUGCUCCGACUGUUUUCUUCAACAAUGUUUUUCACAUGUGUAAACGAUAAAAAGGUUCUGAUAAACAAAAACACACUGUGUCUGUUUCACACUCCUGCUGCCAAACUGUGUGAACAACGUCGCCAACAACUGCAGCAACAACUGCAGCAACAACAUUUUCACUAACAUGGAGCAAACUACCAACAAUGACAACAACCGUAAUGUCAGCAGCAAUGACAACAACCGUAAUGUCAGCAGCAAUGACAACAACCGUAAUGUCAGCAGCAAUGACAACAACCGUAAUGUCAGCAGCAAUGACAACAACCGUAAUGUCAGCAACAACAGUAACAACCAUAAUAUCAGCAACAGUGACAACUACCGUAAUGUCAGCAACAACAAUGACAACUACAUACAGUAAAAACCAAAACACAUCAACGACAGCAACUUCAAUUCCAAUGACCGGGACAACUUCACGUCAACAGUGGCAACAACGUCUGCAACAGUGUCUCUAAGAUGGACGCAUCAACAACAAUGCCAGCAACAGUUCACGUCCUCUCUCAGAGGAGUGUCUCUCAGUGUGUCCCUCAGAGAACUUCUCCAGGUGUUCUUCACUGUGGGUUCAGACGUGUCUGUUCUGUCACUGCAGAUGUUUACAUGAGUGCAGCCUGACACAGAACCACAGCCUGGAGCUGCUCUGGAACCAGAACGUCUACUGAACAUGAACUUCUCUUUGGUUGUUCCUCACGCAGAGUUUGGAAAAAAGAGACAGAAACGAGGAAGUUCUGGCCUGAAAUUCUGCUUCUGACUCUCAGGAAACGACAAACAAUGCUUCACUGUUCCCUCCCUCCGUGUGUGUGUAUGUGUGUGUGUGUGUGUGUGUGUGCGCACUCUUAGUGGCAGGGAUUAGGAAAAGGAGAAAGUAAUCGAAAUCCACGGGUUGAAAGCUUGGACCUGGUUUUUCCGUCUCACUGAGGACCUGAUCCUGACCCAGAUUCUGAUCCUAAAACCCAGAGAAGCCUCCUGUCCCCGAGUCUCCAACCUUCAGCCCAUGAAAUGUUGUCUCCUCCUCUCAUCCUUCCAGUGUCUGGAGCAGAAACUAGUCCUGAAAAGUUCCACGGUGUAACAACAGGCGCAGGUUUAUCACAGUAGGGUUAGAAGGUCAGAAAUCUGUCCAGAAUCGAACAACCCAAAUACACUGAUCCAAACGGGUGGUUGAUUUUCCUCGUCUGUUUGUUCAAGUAAGUCUGAUUUAAUGAAACAACAAAAAUGUCCAUUAAUGAUCUGUGUGUGUGUGUGUGUUGGUUUAACAACACUUUGUGCAAAGAAAAGAGUUGGAGGAGAUGAAGAGGUUGAAACAACACACACACACACACACACGAGGCAAAUCUCCGUCAAGUUCCAUCAUGUCUGUUGAGUCCAACCUUGCAGUCUUCAGUCAGUGUCUCAGUCAGUGUCUCAGUCAGUGUCUCAGACGGUCGGGCUGGAGGACGGGCUGACGUCCUGGAGGUCAGUGAGGUUCUGUCUGUCUGGGUUUGUUCGACUCCCUUCACUUUGGUUUUCUAGGCAGUUGUUUCUGCUGUGUUUUUGAUUCAUGCAGCGUCUGUGUGUUUGACAAGUGUGUGUGUUUUCAGCUCCAGAGUUUGGCUCUGAGCCCAGACACUUGUCACUGCCGGUGAUUUAUGUUAAACUUAUCCAUUUGACUUGACCUGCUUUGCUUUAAUGAAUGACUUCCAAAUAAGGGAGAAAAAGAAGGAGGGAGAGAUUGACUAGGAUGUCACGCAGAGUUAAGAUAAGAACUGUUUUACUGCACAUUUCUAAUCUGAAGAUUAAACCAUCACAGGAAGUCGGCCUGGCCCUGAGAGAACCUGGUACUGGAGCUAAAACACAAACGUGUUUCUGUGAAAAAUGAAGCUUUGGAAACAAAUCCUCAAAUCUGUCCUGAAACCUGAAGAACGUCAAACUGUGCUGAUUAACAAACCGAUCCUGACCUGGACUUCUGAACGGGUUCUCCUCUUCCACAUCUGAAAGACCCGUUUGUUUUUCCCUGAAACACAGUCAUGUGGGAACCUGUCCUUCAGUUCCACAGGUGUCACUGAGAUGUUUUCACUUUUCUAAAGAAUCAGACAGAAGAAAUACAGAUUCUUCUAGAUCCUGUCGCAGAGGUUUUUGUUGUUCUUCAUCAUGUUGGUCUCCUCCUCUUCUUCUUCUUCUUCUCCUCCUCCUUUUCCUCCUUGUUCUUCUUUUCCUUUUUUAAUCGUCACUGUUGACUGUCUGUCUGUGUCUGUGUCUGUCUACUGUCGGGGCAGUUUAACACUUGUCUACAGGACAAAGCUGUAGACUGGGAAGACGGAGGGACGUGUCCGCAAGCGCAGUGGACAAAUGUCUUCUGCACAGAUGAGUCCUCGUGGUCUUCUGAGAGCGUUCCUGAUGUGUCAUCUUCUCAUUGGUGGAAACGUCUGCACCAACAUCUGUCUUCGGCUCGUCUGUGACGUCUCCCACCGGUCGGCUGCUUCAUGACUGACCUCAGAGUGCACCACACUCACGUGCACGGCCACGUGCACGCAGCUCUAAUGAGGUGAAACUGGAAGCCAAAGGCUUGCCGCUGUCUGGGUCGCAGCGUCACAGGGAGGAAGUGGAACAACAGCGAUAGUGGACUGGACCCACAGAGGUCUGCAGUCGGCCAGGAGGGACACAGUCACCGAGGUCUCCAUCAGGUUUGUGAGACUGCAGCACUGAAACAUGUCUCUGACUGAGACUCAGAAAAAAAAGUGUUUCUGAUCAAACUGGAAACAUUAUGUCAAUGAAUCCUGAACAACUGACGACAGAUUCAAACAGUAACAAGAGCUGAGUGUGCACCAGUGUGUGUGUGUGUGUGUGAGUGAGAGUGUGUGUUUGUGUUUGUCAGAUAGAUUGGACCUGACAUUUUUCAAAUGUUCACACUAACAAACCAGGAUCUGGUUCCAGAACUAAAACCUGGUCCCAGUCCCAGAGUUAGAUCACGUCAGACCAGAACUUUCCAUCCAAUCAACCACUCACUGAUGAGGUGUGAGGAGAAGCAGAAAGUUUCCUCCUGGGACAGAAGUGAAAGUUCUCAGCCAGUUCAUUUCUCUUCCUUCCAGCAACAGACGUUAAGAAAACACCAGGUCAGAGUCGCAGCCUCUUAUCUCUGUGUCUGUGCUGUUUAAUCUUUGAUCAGAACAAUUUGGAUUGUUUUCAAGAACGAGGAAGUUCACCAAAGAAUGAACAGAGCCGCUGCUCCCUGCUCUGCUCCCAAACCUUGUUCAACUUUUAUUUAACCUGGACUGGAGCCAGAGCGCAGGUCAAACUCCUCACACGCCUCACACGCAAACACUGGGAGCGGUCACCUGCCCGCCUGCACGGCCACGCGCACGCCCAACACACAAACACGGGACAAACACGGGCAGGAGGCGAAUGGCUCGUGUGCAGAAACGCAGAACUGAAAACAAUGAGGAGGCAGCGGCGGAGGGCAGCGUGCACACUCACGUGCACGCCCCUCAGGUCACUGCCAGCUUUUCAGACACGCAAAGGAAAUACCUGCUGAUGCUAGACAGAUGUUAGAGAUACAGCGGAACCUUGGUCAGAGACCCUCCAUCGGACCGCCGCCCCUUUCAGAGCCAUGUUUCCAAACAAG